GCCAAAAAGCAAUAAAGAACCACAGUCCUAGAUUGCAGUAGGGGCCAAGAGAAAUAGUCUAACUCAGCUCGGGGCAGCAUGCAUAUAUUGAGUGUUGUGUGCAAGGUGUUGGUGAGGCUCUAAUCCCAAUUUGCAAAAAGGUAGACCAUCGUUACAGAUGAGCACGUUGACACAGCAGCAUGGGGGGCGUUUAAUUGGGGCUUGCUGUAUUGAAUUGAGGGAGUUAGAGGAUAGCCCUCCCUCUCCAGUUGGAAAGCUGUCCAGAGAACCUUGGACAGUCAAAUGACCUACAAGUCAUUUGCCUCCUCUGAGUGGGGCAGCUCCGACAGGGGCUCCUAGUUUAUAUGGGGAGAUACAUAGGCUUUAGGGCUGGAUGGCAUGCUGGCUGCAGCUUCCGUGUGUGGAGUGCAUUGGAGUCUCCUCCAGCCUUGCCUUUCUUUGCCACUAGUGUAGCCAGAGUGUCUGCUCCAGUCUUGGCACUUCAGGAGAAAGGGCACAUCCAAGACCAAAUGCACUCUCAUUUCCCUUAGAAAAUGUUUCUACUGAUCUUUUCAGUGUAUUUAAAAUGUUUCAGUAUCAUCAUAACUAUGGGUGCCAGUGAGCAGCAAGGAUCAGAAAAGUGAACCUACAAACUACUCAGGGAAGAUGGAAAAGACAUGGAAAAGAAAAUGUUUACAACUUUGAAAGUAUUUCACUCUUCUUUCCAUUUGGGAGUCCAAAUCAUAGUGUUGUUUUUUUUUUUAAAUAAUUCUGGAGCUAGGUAUCAUCCAAUUGUUAUAGCCACAAGGGACUUUUUGGGUUAAAUCCUUCAUUCCCUGCUGUAAUAAGAGUGAGGACUAAACCAGUCUCACAGGUAAUGUGGGCACCCUAGUGUUAGGGAUGGAUUCUUGUGGAGGCUUGCAGAACAUCUGCCAUUCUAUGUAGAAUUUUGAGACCACAUUUUUUUUUUUUUCUGGGAGGCAACUGGGAGCUUCCGUGUGCUUCUCAAAGGGACUUAUCAUUACAAGAGACUUAGAAAUCUUUGGGGGGGAGUUUCUUUUGUACUCCCCACAGCAGGAGGGACUCUAUUUUCUUUUCACCCCAGCUGGAGAGAGUAGAGAUAGUGGAGGAAAGCAGAGAGAUGAGUGAGGCACCACAACUACCUCUGAAAGUGUAUGCUUGAUAGGACAUUCACAACUAUCUACGGAAGCCUUCAUAGGUUAAGCUUCCCACCAGGUGUGUGGAAAUCAGUCAGAGGGAUCUUUCAAUGGAAAUAGGAAAUAGUGGGCUUUAGUUGUCAUCGAUCAGAGAUGCAGAAAGCGGGAAGAGAAUAUCACCAAGCACUUGACCUAAUCUUUUUAUGACAUAUCAGAGGGAGGGUAGGCUGACAGUCCUGAAUAGACAUUGCCUGACAUCUCACAGACCAUUGGAGCAGAGCCCAGUGGGAUCUCAUUUUUCACUGAUACUCCAACCUGGUACUUACGGACUUAAAACCUGCACCAUCUUGGAAAUCUAGUGGGGGAGGAUUAAAUUUUACUCUCCCAACUGAAAGGUAUUUUCUUCACCCAUUUUUUAAAAUUUUUGUCAGCAGCAAAUAAAAAAUAUCUAUAAUUUUUAAAAGUGUCUUUUCCUGUUCUCAAAAGUAUUUUUAAAAGCCCAGGAGUAACUUAUGACUGGCAGUAAAUCUAUUUUAGAGUGGAUUAACUUCUUACAGGGGUGAUAACAUUCCUGGAGGGGUUGAUAUCGUAAGUGUGGUUUUCAUUGUGUAGCUGAAUUAAUUUUGUUCUCUGGAGCAUCAGCACAACUCUAGCAGAAGCCCACGAGGGAAAGAAUAAGUCAGUAUAAAAAUGUCCACAUUCUCUUGACUGUUCAGGAAUGGCUGUAAAUAAGGGGUUUUAACUCCUUUCAAAUCUUCUUCUUCUUAUGAUCUCAUAAGAGUGUCAGACAAAUAAUUAAUGGUAUGAAACAGUUAACUGCUAGGAAAGACAAAUAGUUAAUGGACACUGCCUGGUAUUAUAUUUGGGGGCAGAAAGAGACUGAAAUGUCUGUCACCAGUAAUGGAGAAUCACUGAAUUGAAAUAUAAUUAGAGACAACCUGAGUCUGAGAAACAGGUAUUUAGAACAAGGUAGCUAGGGGUGUGUGUGUGUGUGUGUGUGU